GGUCCUCGGCCUGUGCUGGCAGCCUCGGAGCCCACCGAGCCGGGCGGCUGGGAUGAUGAACCGGACGACCCCCGACCAGGAGCUGGUGCCGGCGUCGGAGCCCGUGUGGGAGCGGCCGUGGUCGGUGGAGGAGAUCCGCAGGAGCAGCCAGAGCUGGUCGCUGGCGGCCGACGCGGGCCUACUACAGUUUCUACAGGAAUUCUCACAGCAAACUAUCUCUAGGACCCAUGAAAUCAAGAAACAAGUGGACGGACUAAUCCGGGAAACCAAAGCCACAGAUUGUCGCCUGCAUAAUGUCUUCAAUGACUUCCUUAUGCUCUCUAAUACCCAGUUCAUAGAGAAUCGUGUAUAUGAUGAAGAAGUGGAGGAGCCAGUACUCAAGGCUGAGGCAGAAAAAACAGAGCAGGAGAAGACACGAGAGCAGAAAGAAGUAGAUCUCAUUCCUAAAGUCCAGGAGGCUGUGAACUAUGGCUUACAAGUAUUGGACAGUGCCUUUGAGCAACUUGAUAUCAAAGCAGGAAACUCAGACUCCGAGGAAGAUGAUGCUAAUGGGCGGGUGGAACUGAUCCUUGAACCAAAGUAGAGACGGGGUUUCACCAUGGUGACCAGGCUGGUCUUGAACUCCUGACCUCAAGUGAUCCGCCCGCCUCGGCCUCCCAAAAGUACUGGGAUUACAGGAUCUAUACAUUGAUCGUCCUUUACCAUAUCUCAUUGGGUCAAAGCUGUUCAUGGAACAAGAAGAUGUAGGUCUUGGAGAGCUGUCCAGUGAAGAAGGCUCUGUAGGCAGUGAUCGUGGCAGUAUUGUGGACACUGAGGAAGAGAAAGAAGAGGAGGAGUCAGAUGAAGAUUUUGCCCAUCACAGUGACAAUGAACAAAACCAGGAUACAUUUUUAGGCCGGGCUUGGUGGCUCACGCCUGUAAUCCUAGCAGUUUGGGAGGCUGAGGCGGGUGGAUCACCUGAAGUCAGGAGUUCAAGACCAGCCUAGACAACAUGCACACCACACAAAUGAGUGAUGAGGAAGAGGAUGAUGAUGGCUGUGACCUUUUUGCUGACUCUGAGAAGGAGGAGGAAGAUAUUGAGGACAUUGAAGAAAAUACUAGACCUAAAAGAAGCAGACCUACAUCGUUUGCAGAUGAGCUGGCUGCCCGCAUCAAGGGGGAUGCCAUGGGUCGAGUGGACGAGGAGCCGACAACCUUACCCUCAGGAGAAGCAAAACCUCGGAAGACACUCAAAGAGAAGAAGGAAAGGAGAACUCCUUCAGACGAUGAAGAGGAUAACUUAUUCGCACCCCCCAAGCUGACCGACGAGGACUUCUCGCCAUUUGGCUCUGGAGGUGGCCUGUUCAGUGGCGGCAAGGGGCUAUUUGAUGAUGAGGACGAGGAGAGUGACCUCUUCACGGAAGCCUCCCAGGAUCGGCAAGCUGGAGCCUCUGUUAAGGAGGAGUCUUCAUCAUCCAAACCUGGAAAGAAAAUCCCAGCAGGAGCUGUUUCUGUAUUUUUAGGAGACACGGAUGUGUUUGGUGCUGCCUCCGUUCCAUCACUGAAGGAGCCACAGAAGCCUGAGCAGCCCACUCCAAGGAAAAGCCCCUAUGGUCCCCCUCCCACUGGCCUCUUUGAUGAUGAUGAUGGUGAUGAUGAUGACGACUUUUUCUCGGCACCCCACAGCAAACCUUCUAAAACACGCAAAGUCCAAUCCACUGCCGAUAUCUUUGGUGACGAAGAAGGAGAUCUGUUCAAAGAAAAAGCCGUAGCAUCGCCAGAAGCCACUGUGAGUCAGACAGAUGAAAAUAAAGCAAGAGCAGAAAAAAAGGUUACCUUAUCUUACAGCAAAAAUCUCAAGCCCUCAUCAGAAACAAAGACUCAAAAAGGCUUAUUUUCAGAUGAGGAGGACUCUGAGGAUUUGUUUUCUUCUCAAAGUGCGAGUAACUUAAAAGGUGCAUCUCUGCUGCCUGGCAAGCUCCCCACGUCGGUUUCCCUGUUUGAUGAUGAAGAUGAAGAGUGACUUCUUCCUUAUAUUUUCCUAGCUGUGCAAUGGAGAAGACAUUAGAUUCUUGACGCAGUUCUUUUUUUUUUUUUUUCCGAGUUGGAGACUUUCUCUGUCACCCAGGCUGGAGUGCAGUGAUGCGAUCUUGGCUCACUGUAACCGGGUUCAGGUGAUUCUCCUGCCUCGACCUCCCAAGUAGCUGGGACUACAGGAUAAUCUUUUUGGGGGUACAGCUGCUAAGAAGCAGACAUUGUCUCUACAAGCUCAGAGAGAAGAGAAAGCAAAAGCCUCCGAGCUCUCCAAAAAGAAAGCAUCUGCCCUGUUGUUCAGCAGUGAUGAGGAGGACCAGUGGAAUAUUCCUGCUUCACAGACCCACUUAGCAUCUGACAGCAGGUCUAAAGGAGAACCCAGGGAUUCUGGGACCCUCCAGAGCCAGGAGGCCAAGGCUGUGAAAAAGACCAGUCUCUUUGAGGAAGACAAAGAAGAUGAUCUUUUUGCCAUUGCCAAGGACAGCCAAAAGAAGACCCAGAGAGUGUCACUCCUCUUUGAAGACGAUGUUGAUAGCGGAGGCUCUCUGUUUGGCUCUCCUCCCACAUCUGUUCCUCCUGCAACAAAGAAAAAAGAGACUGUCUCUGAGGCACCACCUUUGCUGUUCAGCGAUGAAGAAGAGAAGGAGGCACAACUUGGAGUGAAGUCUGUGGAUAAGAAGGUUGAGAGUGCCAAGGAGUCAUUAAAAUUUGGGAGAACUGAUGUGGCUGAGUCAGAAAAGGAAGGACUUUUGACUAGAUCUGCUCAGGAAACAGUCAAGCAUUCUGAUUUAUUUUCUUCAUCAUCCCCAUGGGACAAAGGAACCAAGCCUAGAACCAAAACUGUUCUUAGCUUGUUUGAUGAGGAAGAGGAUAAAAUGGAAGAUCAAAACAUUAUCCAGGCUCCACAGAAAGAAGUAGGAAAGGGCUGCGAUCCUGAUGCCCACCCCAAGAGCACAGGUGUCUUCCAGGAUGAAGAGCUGCUUUUCAGCCACAAGCUCCAAAAGGACAAUGACCCAGAUGUUGACCUUUUUGCUGGCACCAAAAAAACCAAGCUGUUAGAGCCAAGUGUUGGGAGCCUGUUUGGGGAUGAUGAAGAUGAUGAUCUUUUCAGCUCUGCCAAGUCCCAGCCUUUGGUACAAGAGAAAAAGAGAGUAGUGAAAAAAGACCACUCUGUUAACUCUUUCAAAAACCAGAAACAUCCUGAAUCCAUUCAAGGUAGUAAAGAAAAAGGCAUAUGGAAGCCGGAAACACCUCAGGCAAAUUUAGCGAUCAACCCAGCGGCCUUGCUGCCCACAGCGGCUUCCCAGAUCUCUGAAGUAAAGCCUGUUUUGCCAGAAUUGGCUUUUCCUUCAUCUGAACACAGAAGGAGCCACGGUCUGGAAAGUGUGCCUGUCCUUCCCGGGAGUGGGGAGGCCGGUGUGAGUUUUGAUCUUCCAGCUCAGGCAGACACCUUACACAGUGCAAACAAGAGCCGUGUCAAGAUGAGAGGGAAGCGUAGACCGCAGACCCGUGCAGCUAGGCGGCUGGCUGCUCAGGAGUCCAGCGAGGCUGAGGACAUGAGCGUCCCCAGAGGACCCAUUGCACAGUGGGCUGAUGGCGCCAUUUCCCCAAAUGGCCAUCGGCCACAGCUCAGAGCAGCCAGUGGAGAAGACAGCACUGAGGAGGCCCUGGCAGCUGCCGCUGCACCUUGGGAAGGUGGUCCUGUGCCUGGAGUGGACACAAGCCCCUUUGCAAAGUCUCUGGGUCAUUCCAGAGGGGAGGCUGACCUUUUUGAUUCUGGGGACAUUUUUUCCACGGGCACUGGAUCUCAGUCCGUGGAGAGAACAAAACCCAAGGCAAAGAUAGCAGAGAAUCCUGCCAACCCACCAGUGGGUGGUAAAGCAAAGAGCCCCAUGUUUCCUGCUCUAGGCGAGGCCAGCAGUGAUGAUGAUCUCUUUCAGUCUGCUAAACCAAAACCAGCAAAGAAAACAAAUCCCUUUCCUCUCCUGGAAGAUGAGGAUGACCUCUUUACAGAUCAGAAAGUCAAGAAGAAUGAGACAAAAUCCAGUAGUCAGCAGGAUGUCAUAUUAACAACACAAGAUAUUUUUGAGGAUGAUAUAUUUGCUACGGAAGCAAUUAAACCCUCUCAGAAAACCAGAGAGAAGGAGAAAACAUUGGAAUCUAAUUUAUUUGAUGAUAACAUUGAUAUCUUUGCUGACUUAACUGUAAAACCAAAAGAAAAGUCCAAAAAGAAAGUGGAAGCCAAGUCUAUAUUUGAUGAUGAUAUGGAUGACAUCUUCUCCACUGGUAUCCAGGCUAAGACAACCAAACCAAAAAGCCGAUCUGCACAGGCCGCACCUGAACCAAGAUUUGAACACAAGGUGUCCAACAUCUUUGAUGAUCCCCUGAAUGCCUUUGGAGGCCAGUAGAGCACACAGGGUAUCCACAUGUUACCCUGCAGCUACAUUGUUGAGUUAGUGAUGAUAUUGUAUAUGCUCAUGGUCUUAACUGGAUUACAAAAAGCAAAUACUAGAACAGCUAGCUCAUCUUUUACCCAAUGUACUUAGUAUUUUUCUGCACUGGUUUAAUCAUGCUUAAUACUACAAAACAAAAAUAAAUAUUUCACAGUGGUUGGUUUGUUUUGUUUUUAAACCACAGUUUGAUUUAGUUAGCCUUGCUGGGGCCAUAAUAUGCUUCAGGGUGUGUAAAAGAAGAAAUCUCUUUGUGGCUUUCAUGGGCAGGGAAUCUCAGAGAUAGCAAAUGCCACCUGACCAGAAGUCUUUGUUAUAUGGAUGGGAACCCUAACUUAGGGCUUGGGCAGGGGAAAGAGAAAGAAGAUGAGAGAUUAUACUUCAUGAGUCUUAGCAAUAUGGGAGCAGGUUUUCACUGAAUUCUGAGGGUGCCUCUGCAUGUCCUCCAAGGCAAAGUUUGGCAAACUGUGGCCCCCCCACUGUCAUAUUUUGUUAAUAAAAUUUUAUUGGAACACAAUCACA